rnacentral:lncRNA from 1 species
CAAGCUAACCUGUGGAUGCGGAUAAAGCUCCACCUCUUUCCUUCACUCCUGACUGUGUCACAGAUCAUUCAUAUUCUUCGCACCCUACCAAGGCUUCUCUAGAGUUCAAGAGCAGACCCCUCACCCACCCCUAAUUAAACGGGCUUGUCUCGGAUUUGAUCUUAUGCAAUUCCUUUCGCAGCUGUGCACCUCUUUUUCCAGAGGCGGGGGUUA